UCGAGAAUCUUUCGCAAUGGGCGAAAGCCUGACGAAGCGACGCCGUGUGAGCGAUGAAGGCCUUCGGGUUGUAAAGCUCUUUCGCACGGGAACAAAGGUACAAGACGAAUAGUGUUGUAUUUUGAGGGUACUGUGUAAAGAAGCACCGGCUAACUCCGUGCCAGCAGCUGCGGUAAUACGGAGGGUGCAAGCAUUAAUCGGAAUGAUUGGGCGUAAAGGGCGCGUAGGCGGAUAGGGAAGUCAGUUGUGAAAUCCCGGGGCUCACCCUCGGAACUGCAAUUGAAACUUUCUGUCUGGAGGGAUGGCGGAGAAAACGGAAUUCCACGUGUAGCGGUGAAAUGCGUAGAUAUGUGGAGGAACACCUGUGGCGAAAGCGGUUUUCUAGCUUUUACCUGACGCU
rnacentral:rRNA from 1 species